rnacentral:rRNA from 1 species
CGGGUGAGUAACACGUGGAUAACCUACCUAUAAGACUGGGAUAACUUCGGGAAACCGGAGCUAAUACCGGAUAAUAUAUUGAACCGCAUGGUUCAAUAGUGAAAGACGGUUUUGCUGUCACUCAUAGAUGGAUCCGCGCUGCAUUAGCUAGUUGGUAAGGUAACGGCUUACCAAGGCAACGAUGCGUAGCCGACCUGAGAGGGUGAUCGGCCACACUGGAACUGAGACACGGUCCAGACUCCUACGGGAGGCAGCAGGU